GAAGUCUGGUGGCCUGGGGAUUUGGUGGGUCUGCUCCUUAGCAGUGGCCUGGGGCUCUGUGACAGUGCCUUGGUAAUGACCAGGGCUCCAGGAAGAGAUGUCCUUGUGGCUGGGGGCCCCUGUGCCUGACAUUCCUCCUGAUCAGACUCUGCGGUGGAGCUGUGGAAGCCAGGCGCACAGGAUGCAAGCAGCCAGGCCCAGGGAGGCAGCAGCUGCAUCCUCAGAGAGGAAGCCAGGAUGCCCCACUCUGCCGGGGGUACUGCAGGGGUGGGGCUGGAGGCUGCAGAGCCCACAGCCCUGCUCACCAGGGCAGAGCCCCCUUCAGAACCCACAGAGAUCCGUCCACUAAAGCGGAAAAAGGGGCCAGCCCCCAAAAUGCUGGGGAACGAGCUAUGCAGCGUGUGUGGGGACAAGGCCUCUGGCUUCCACUACAAUGUUCUGAGCUGCGAGGGCUGCAAGGGAUUCUUCCGCCGCAGCGUCAUCAAGGGAGCGCGCUACGUCUGCCACAGUGGCGGCCACUGCCCCAUGGAUACCUAUAUGCG
rnacentral:sRNA from 1 species